GACGAACGCUGGCGGCGUGCUUAACACAUGCAAGUCGAACGGAAAGGCCCUGCUUUUGUGGUGUGCUCGAGUGGCGAACGGGUGAGUAACACGUGAGUAACCUGCCCUUGACUUUGGGAUAACUUCAGGAAACUGGGGCUAAUACCGGAUAGGAGCUCCUGCUGCAUGGUGGGGGUUGGAAAGUUUCGGCGGUUGGGGAUGGACUCGCGGCUUAUCAGCUUGUUGGUUGGGUAGUGGCAUACCAAGGCUUUGACGGGUAGCCGGCCUGAGAGGGUGACCGGGCACAUUGGGACUGAGAGACGGCCCAGGCUGCUACGGGAGGCAGCAGUGGGGAAUAUUGCACAAUGGGCGGAAGCCUGAUGAAGCAACGCCGCGUGCGGGAUGACGGCCUUCGGGUUGUAAACCGCUUUCGCCUGUGACGAAGCGUGAGUGACGGUAAUGGGUAAAGAAGCACCGGCUAACUACGUG
rnacentral:rRNA from 1 species